rnacentral:rRNA from 1 species
CACGUAGGGCGCGAGCGUUGUCCGGAAUUAUUGGGCGUAAAGAGCUCGUAGGCGGCCUGUUGCGUCCGCUGUGAAAGCCCGGGGCUUAACCCCGGGUCUGCAGUGGAUACGGGCAGGCUAGAGGUAGGUAGGGGAGAAUGGAAUUCCCGGUGUAGCGGUGAAAUGCGCAGAUAUCGGGAGGAACACCGGUGGCGAAGGCGGUUCUCUGGGGCCUUACCUGACGCUGAGGAGCGAAAGCGUGGGGAGCGAACAGG